rnacentral:rRNA from 1 species
AGCGAACGCUGGCGGCAGGCCUAACACAUGCAAGUCGAACGAAGUCUUCGGACUUAGUGGCGGACGGGUGAGUAACACGUGGGAACGUGCCUUUAGGUUCGGAAUAACUCAGGGAAACUUGUGCUAAUACCGAAUGUGCCCUUCGGGGGAAAGAUUUAUCGCCUUUAGAGCGGCCCGCGUCUGAUUAGCUAGUUGGUGGGGUAAUGGCCCACCAAGGCUACGAUCAGUAGCUGGUCUGAGAGGAUGACCAGCCACAUUGGGACUGAGACACGGCCCAAACUCCUACGGGAGGCAGCAGUGGGGAAUCUUGCGCAAUGGGCGAAAGCCCGACGCAGCCAUGCCGCGUGGAUGAUGAAGGUCUUAGGAUUGUAAAAUCCUUUCACCGGUGAAGAUAAUGACUGUAGCCGGAGAAGAAGCCCCGGCUAACUUCGUGCCAGCAGCCGCAGUAAUAC